rnacentral:rRNA from 1 species
CUGUUUGAUCUUGACGGAGCAAAUGGACCAAGUACCCCGACUGGGGAGUAUGGUCGCAAGGCUAAAACUCAUUAGGAAUUGACGGGGGCUCACACAAGCGGUGGAGCAUGUUGUUCAAUUCGAAGCAACGCGAAGAACCUUACCUGGGUUUGACAUUCUUGGGACCGCCUGGGAAAGCAGGUUUCCUCUUUGAGGCCCUUUUACAGGUGUUGCAUGGCUGUCGUCAGCUCCUAUUUGUGAGAUGUCCGGUUAAGUCCCAUAACGAGCGAAACCCUUGUCCUUAAUUGCCAGCGGGCAAGCCGGGCUACUUUAGGGAGACUGCCCGGUUAAACCCAGGAAGUGGGCCACCUCAGCAUCAUUGCUUUAUGCCCAGGGG